rnacentral:rRNA from 1 species
AGGAUGAACGUUGGCGGCGUGCCUAACACAUGCAAGUCGAACGGCAAUAGCAAUAUUGGAGUGGCGCACGGGUGAGUAACACGUAGCUUAUCUACCUCAAAGCGCGGGAUAACGUGUCGAAAGACAGGCUAAUACCGCAUAAGCUCCCGGACUCUAGAGGUCAGGGAGAAAAGGCUUCGGUCACUUUGAGAUGAGGCUGCGGCCCAUCAGCUAGUUGGUGCGGUAACGGCGUACCAAGGCGACGGACGGGUAGGGGACCUGAGAGGGUCGACCCCCCACACGUGGGACUGAGACACGGCCCAGACUCCUACGGGAGGCAGCAGUGAGGAAUAUGCACAAUGGGCAAAGCCUGAUGCAGCGACGCCGCGUGGUAGAAGAAGGUUUCGGAUUACGUAAAACCUUUCUGUGUGACGAGAACGGACGGUAGCACAGGAAUAAGUCUACGGCUAAC